GUGGAUCCUGACUGGAGCCUUUGAACACUACAAACAGGAUGCAGACCUGCAGGAAACGGUCUGCAAACGUCCCACAUCAGUGGUCGUUGUUCCCCGAUGAUGACGCCAGUCAUGGUGGUGGAACAAACAGCAACGUGUAGAGAGAGACGCUCUGAGAUGCUCCCCAGAGCUCCGAGCGAAUUCCUCAACCCGGCUCUCCACCCACAGACACGCAGCUCAACAACACCCUCAGUCAGCGGCACUCGGCGACAGGAGGGAUCCAGGAUGCGGCAAAUCAGCCGAGACCCUGACAGUCAACUUCAUGCCCAGCGAUAAUGAGCUCCCAACGGAAACGCUGCGACACAGGAGGGACUGGAAGAUAGAAGAACGGAAGUAAUGAGCUAAUCAGCCACCAAGCAGAGCCCGGUGCCUUGGGGAGGGAAGUCAUGUGUGAAAUGGUAGAAAGCGGCCCAUAGCGGGCCGCAGCACAAAGGAACGCCGACAUGCACACCCACCCAUGUUAAGGCUCAGCCCCUGGAGGACAUUUAACAGGAAGUCUUCCUGCAUACUGGAUGUUUGGCCUUCUCCCCCUGGAAGGAU